AGCAGUGGGGAAUUUUGGGCAAGGGAGGAAAGGGUAAUCCAGCCAAAUGGCGAAAUGAAGAAGGCCUUCGGGUUGUAAAGCUAUUCAGCCGGAAAGAAAUAGAGCAGGCCAAUACUGGCGAGAUGAC
rnacentral:rRNA from 1 species